AUUACUCCAAAAUUCCAAUAAAGCAGAGACAGAGGAAUGUGGCCUUUUCUCGCUUUAAACUGACACUAGCCUCAGUAUAAACACAAUUGGGAUUUAAUUAUUUAAUUAUCUUUGGCUAAAAGGGAGUGUACAUGAAAGACGCCCGGUGAUAAAAUCAUUUGGAUGUCUGGUGACGUAUCUGCCGCUCCGCCGUCUCCGCUCGAAGUUGCGAGCUUCAUCGGGAAAACUGUUGGCGCAGGCGCGGCACUGACAGCUGCUGUCUACCUACUCCGCAAAGUCUGCUUAAUAAUGGCCUGGAAAUCCGGAGGAGCCAGUCACGCAGAGCUCGUCACCAAUCUCCGCAAAAAUGGCAUCAUCAAAUCCGACAGGGUAUACGAGGUCAUGCUGACCACAGACCGAGCGCACUUCUCCAGGUGUAACCCUUACAUGGACUCUCCUCAGUCCAUAGGCUAUCAGGCCACCAUCAGCGCUCCACACAUGCAUGCGUACGCCCUGGAACUCCUCCACGACCAGCUGUACGAGGGAGCCAAAGCUCUGGACGUGGGCUCUGGCAGCGGCAUCCUGUCAGUCUGCUUCGCAAGAAUGGUAGGUCCUAAAGGGAAGGUCAUAGGAAUCGACCACAUCAAAGAGCUGGUAGACGACUCCAUAAACAACGUGAAGAAAGAUGACUCCAGUUUAAUAACGUCUGGACGAGUCAAGCUAGUUGUGGGAGAUGGGCGGAUGGGUUACCCAGAGGAGGCGCCGUAUGACGCCAUCCACGUUGGUGCAGCAGCGCCCACCGUCCCCCAGGCUCUUCUGGACCAGUUGAAGCCCGGCGGUCGUCUGAUUCUACCCGUCGGGCCCCCGGGGGGCAACCAGAUGUUGGAGCAGUACGACAAGCUAGAGGACGGCAGCACCAAGAUGAAGCCCCUGAUGGGGGUGAUUUAUGUGCCUUUAACAGACAGAGACAAGCAGUGGUCCAGGUGGAAGUGACUUCCUUCUCCUCCCCCUCCACCCCCCCUCUGUCCUUCUCACAGUGGCAAAGGGAUGAGCUCUGAAGAGGAAGACUGUCCAUCCUCCACCUUUGAGUUUGAAGCAGAAGAGCCGGGUGGGCCUCAGCGUUUGGUUGAAAGCAUCACUCACCAACGUGCUGUUUUUGUUUGGAUCCAACACCGAACGGAGCUCUGGACGUUGAUUCUGAGGCUGCAGACGCUCAACACUCCAGAUGGGCUUUCAGGUUUCUUUCUUUACAGGCCUGCAUCCUUUUGGUUACUGUCCAUAGUCGCUGGAGGAUUUUUUUUUCUUUUUUUUUGUGGUUUUAACAUUUGAAUUGCAAACAGUUUCAGACAUUUUUACAUCGCCAGAUUUCAGCAGGAAAUGAAGAAGGCAGGACUGGAUCUGCUAAGCUUUCCCCCUCACGAGCAGUAUUAUCAACCACCGGAAACGCCACAGCUGUCCGUCACCCAUCCGCUGGUCACAUGACCACGCUCUGGAUCCACCUCCGAGGAUGCCGCACUACACAAGGGAUGCUCACUGCUUUGCCAAAAUAAAGCAUAUGAAGCAAAA